rnacentral:rRNA from 1 species
UACGAAGGGUGCAAGCGUUACUCGGAAUUACUGGGCGUAAAGCGCGCGUAGGUGGUUCGUUAAGUUGGAUGUGAAAUCCCCGGGCUCAACCUGGGAACUGCAUCCAAAACUGGCGAGCUAGAGUAUGGUAGAGGGUGGUGGAAUUUCCUGUGUAGCGGUGAAAUGCGUAGAUAUAGGAAGGAACACCAGUGGCGAAGGCGACCACCUGGACUGAUACUGACACUGAGGUGCGAAAGCGUGGGGAGCAAACAGG